GACGAACGCUGGCGGCGUGCUUAACACAUGCAAGUCGAACGGAAAGGCCCUGCUUUUGUGGGGUGCUCGAGUGGCGAACGGGUGAGUAACACGUGAGUAAUCUGCCCUUGACUUUGGGAUAACUUCAGGAAACUGGGGCUAAUACCGGAUAGGAGCUCCUGCUGCAUGGUGGGGGUUGGAAAGUUUCGGCGGUUGGGGAUGGACUCGCGGCUUAUCAGCUUGUUGGUGGGGUAGUGGCUUACCAAGGCUUUGACGGGUAGCCGGCCUGAGAGGGUGACCGGCCACAUUGGGACUGAGAUACGGCCCAGACUCCUACGGGAGGCAGCAGUGGGGAAUAUUGCACAAUGGGCGGAAGCCUGAUGCAGAAACGCCGCGUGCGGGAUGACGGCCUUCGGGUUGUAAACCGCUUUCGCCUGUGACGAGGCGUAACGGAAAUGGUAAAGAAGCACCGGCUAACUACGUG
rnacentral:rRNA from 1 species